rnacentral:rRNA from 1 species
AUGAACGCUGGCGGCGUGCCUAAUACCUGCCAGUCGCGCGAACAGACGAGGAGCUUGCUCCUCUGACGUUAGCGGCGGACGGGUGAGUAACACGUGGAUAACCUACCUAUAAGACUGGGAUAACUUCGGGAAACCGGAGCUAAUACCGGAUAAUAUAUUGAACCGCAUGGUUCAAUAGUGAAAGACGGUUUUGCUGUCACUUAUAGAUGGAUCCGCGCCGCAUUAGCUAGUUGGUAAGGUAACGGCUUACCAAGGCAACGAUGCGUAGCCGACCUGAGAGGGAGGUCGGCCACCCUGGAACUGAGGAACGGUCCAGACUCCUGCGGGGAGACACAGUAGGGAAUCCUCCGGAAGGGGGGAAAGGUUGACGGAGCAAAGCCGGGUGAGGGAUGAAGGUCUUCGGAUCGUAAAACUCUGUUAUUAGGGAAGAACAAAUGUGUAAGUAACUAUGCACGUCUUGACGGUACCUAAUCAGAAAGCCACGGCUAACUACGUG